UGCCCUAUUUUCUCAUAUUGAUGUUCUCUUAUGGAAAACGAUAAAACUCAAAUGUCGCGUUCUUCUCUUCAAUCUUUUUUUGUAACUGAAAUUGCUUGCAACGCCUUUGCUAUUCAACUCUCUCGCUCCUAUAGCAGAUGCCUUUCGCUCUUCUGCAGUGCUCUUUCAGAGCCUUCUCCUCAAUUCUAAAUUACCAGGAAUAAUCGAUUUUAAUAUUUUUUUUAUUAGUUGAAGAUUUCAGCCUCAUAGGGCGAAUCAUUUGUGGCAGGAUAAUGGAAGAUUUGGUUAUCAAAAUUCAAAGGCGAGUUGGGGUGAUUUUUGAUUGAAUACGUUCCUAUGCCCUACAACAAGUUACAACAGUCAACGUAUGUAAAAUAUCAACAACUUACUUCAAUUGGGUUCGAAAAGAUGGUGCGGUGGAAGAUCCAAUCUUACUUUUAACGUCUAUAUGCCCAGGAGCAACAACAAACCGAGCGUGUUUCUACAAGUGGGGUCUGGGAGGACUAACGAGGAGAGAAAAUCGAGAAAUUUGUUCGGUUGAGGCAGCAAAGUGCUUCGGCAUUGGACUUUACUCUUUUUAUCUUUUUGUGCAAUUCUUUUUUCAGCCUUAACUAGAAGCUUCGGUUCAUUUCUGUAGUUUAUAUCUUUAUUAUUAUGUAUUCAUUUGAGGCUUUGUCCGGAAGUAUGAAUAUGAAAUUUGCACAUGAGAA